AACGUACGCUGGCGGCACGCCUAACACAUGCAAGUCGAACGAAGUAGCAAUACUUAGUGGCAGACGGGUGAGUAACAUGUAGGUAUCUGCCCUUUGGCCUGGAAUAACACGAGGAAACUUGUGCUAAUACCGGAUAAGUCUUUACGGAGAAAGCUUUAUGCACCAUUGGAUGAGCCUGCACUUGAUUAGUUUGUUGGUGGGGUAAUGGCCUACCAAGACUGUGAUCAAUAGCUGAUUUGAGAGGAUGAUCAGCCACAUUGGGACUGAGACACGGCCCAAACUCCUACGGGAGGCAGCAGUGGGGAAUCUUGCACAAUGGAGGAAACUCUGAUGCAGCGAUGCCGCGUGAGUGAAGAAGGCCCUUGGGUUGUAAAGCUCUUUCGUCGGGGAAGAAAAUGACUGUACCCGAAUAAGAAGGUCCGGCUAACUUCGUGCCAGCAGCCGCGGUAAUACGAAGGGACCUAGCGUAGUUCGGAAUUACUGGGCUUAAAGAGUUCGUGGGUGGUUGAAAAAGUUAGUGGUGAAAUCCCAGAGCUUAACUCUGGAACUGCCAUUAAAACUUUUCAGCUAGAGUAUGAUAGAGGAAAGCAGAAUUUCUAGUGUAGAGGUGAAAUUCGUAGAUAUUAGAAAGAAUACCAAUUGCGAAGGCAGCUUUCUGGAUCAUUACUGACACUGAGGAACGAAAGCAUGGGUAGCGAAGAGGAUUAGAUACCCUCGUAGUCCAUGCCGUAAACGAUGUGUGUUAGACGUUGGAAAUUUAUUUUCAGUGUCGCAGGGAAACCGAUAAACACACCGCCUGGGGAGUACGACCGCAAGGUUAAAACUCAAAUGAAUUGACGGGGACCCGCACAAGUAGUGGAGCAUGUGGUUUAAUUCGAAGAUACGCGCAGAACCUUACCAACACUUGACAUGUUCGUCGCGACUCUAAGAGAUUAGAGUUUUCGGUUCGGCCGGACGAAACACAGGUGCUGCAUGGCUGUCGUCAGCUCGUGUCGUGAGAUGUUGGGUUAAGUCCCGCAACGAGCGCAACCCUCACUUUUAGUUGCCAUCAUUAAGUUGGGCACUCUGAAAGAACUGCCAGUGAUAAGCUGGAGGAAGGUGGGGAUGACGUCAAGUCCUCAUGGCCCUUACGUGUUGGGCUACACACGUGCUACAAUGGUAUCUACAACAGGAAGCAAGACUGCGAAGUUAAGCAAAUCCCUAAAAGAUACCUCAGUUCGGAUUGCACUCUGCAACUCGAGUGCAUGAAGCUGGAAUUACUAGUAAUCGUGGAUCAGCGUGCCACGGUGAAUGCGUUCCCGGGUCU
rnacentral:rRNA from 1 species